CCUACGGGGGGCUGCAGUGAGGAAUAUUGGUCAAUGGGCGCGAGCCUGAACCAGCCAAGUCGCGUGAGGGAUGACGGUCCUACGGAUUGUAAACCUCUUUUGCCGGGGAGCAAGCGUGCGUUCGUGAACGCGCGUCGAGAGUACCCGGAGAAAAAGCAUCGGCUAACUCCGUGCCAGCAGCCGCGGUAAUACGGAGGAUGCGAGCGUUAUCCGGAUUUAUGGGGUUUAAAGGAUGGGUAGGCGGGAUGCAAGGUCGUCGGUAAAAAUGCGGGGCUAAACGCCGUCGAGCCGUUGAAACUGGCGUUCUUGAGUGGACGAGAAGUAUGCGGAAUGCGUGGUGUAGCGGUGAAAUGCAUAGAUAUCACGCAGAACUCCGAUUGCGAAGGCAGCAUACCGGCGUCCUACUGACGCUGAGGCACGAAAGCGUGGGUAUCGAACAGGAUUAGAUACCCGGGUAGUC
rnacentral:rRNA from 1 species